CCUAACGGGAGGCAGCAGUGGGGAAUUUUGGACAAUGGGCGCAAGCCUGAUCCAGCCAUGCCGCGUGCGGGAAGAAGGCCUUCGGGUUGUAAACCGCUUUUGUCAGGGAAGAAACGCCCCGGGCUAAUACCCUGGGGUAAUGACGGUACCUGAAGAAUAAGCACCGGCUAACUACGUGCCAGCAGCCGCGGUAAUACGUAGGGUGCAAGCGUUAAUCGGAAUUACUGGGCGUAAAGCGUGCGCAGGCGGUCUUGCAAGACAGAUGUGAAAUCCCCGGGCUCAACCUGGGAACUGCAUUUGUGACUGCAAGGCUAGAGUACGGUAGAGGGGGAUGGAAUUCCGCGUGUAGCAGUGAAAUGCGUAGAUAUGCGGAGGAACACCGAUGGCGAAGGCAAUCCCCUGGACCUGUACUGACGCUCAUGCACGAAAGCGUGGGGAGCAAACAGGAUUAGAUACCCUGGUAGUCCACGCCCUAAACGAUGUCAACUGGUUGUUGGGAAGGUUCCUUCUCAGUAACGUAGCUAACGCGUGAAGUUGACCGCCUGGGGAGUACGGCCGCAAGGUUGAAACUCAAAUGAAUUGACGGCNGAGACGNGCGACGACGACGACGAGGGAGAGG
rnacentral:rRNA from 1 species